GACGAACGCUGGCGGCGGGCUUAACACAUGCAAGUCGAACGGAAAGGCCCUGCUUGUGUGGGGUGCUCGAGGGGCGAACGGGUGAGUAACACGGGAGUAACCUGCCCUUGACGGUGUGAUAACUGCAGGAAACUGGGGCUAAUACCUGAGAGGAGCGCCUGCUGCAUGGUGGGGGUUGGAAAGUUUAGGCGGUUGGGGCUGGACGCGCGGCUUAUCAGCUUGUGGGUGGGGGAGUGGCUUACGAAGGCUUUGACGGGUAGCCGGCCUGGGAGGGUGACCGGGCACCAUGGGCCUGAGAUACGGACCAGACUCCUAUGGGAGGCAGCAGUGGGGAAUAUUGCACAAUGGGCGGGAGCCUGAUGCAGAAACGUCGCGUGCGGGAUGCCGGCCUUCGGGUUGUAAACCGCUUUCGCCUGUGACGAAGCGUGAGUGACGGUAAUGGGUAAAGAAGCACCGGCUAACUACGUG
rnacentral:rRNA from 1 species